CAGCAGCCACGGUAAUACAGAGGGUGCGAGCGUUAAUCGGAUUUACUGGGCGUAAAGCGUGCGUAGGCGGCUUCUUAAGUCGGAUGUGAAAUCCCUGAGCUUAACUUAGGAAUUGCAUUCGAUACUGGGAAGCUAGAGUAUGGGAGAGGAUGGUAGAAUUCCAGGUGUAGCGGUGAAAUGCGUAGAGAUCUGGAGGAAUACCGAUGGCGAAGGCAGCCAUCUGGCCUAAUACUGACGCUGAGGUACGAAAGCAUGGGGAGCAAACAGGAUUAGAUACCCCAGUAGUCCCUGUCUCUUAUAU
rnacentral:rRNA from 1 species